GGGUUGUGAGGUUAAGCGACUAAGCGUACACGGUGGAUGCCCUGGCAGUCAGAGGCGAUGAAGGGCGUGCUAAUCUGCGAUAAGCGCCGGUAAGGUGAUAUGAACCGUUAUAACCGGCGAUACCCGAAUGGGGAAACCCAGUGUGACUCGUCACACUAUCAUUAACUGAAUCCAUAGGUUAAUGAGGCGAACCGGGGGAACUGAAACAUCUAAGUACCCCGAGGAAAAGAAAUCAACCGAGAUUCCCCCAGUAGCGGCGAGCGAACGGGGAGGAGCCCAGAGCCUGAAUCAGCAUGUGUGUUAGUGGAAGCGUCUGGAAAGGCGCGCGAUACAGGGUGACAGCCCCGUACACAAAAGCGCAUGUGCUGUGAGCUCGAUGAGUAGGGCGGGACACGUGGUAUCCUGUCUGAAUAUGGGGGGACCAUCCUCCAAGGCUAAAUACUCCUGACUGACCGAUAGUGAACCAGUACCGUGAGGGAAAGGCGAAAAGAACCCCGGCGAGGGGAGUGAAAAAGAACCUGAAACCGUGUACGUACAAGCAGUGGGAGCACCCUUUGGGUGUGACUGCGUACCUUUUGUAUAAUGGGUCAGCGACUUAUAUUCUGUAGCAAGGUUAACCGAAUAGGGGAGCCGGAGGGAAACCGAGUCUUAACCGGGCGUUAAGUUGCAGGGUAUAGACCCGAAACCCGGUGAUCUAGCCAUGGGCAGGUUGAAGGUUGGGUAACACUAACUGGAGGACCGAACCGACUAAUGUUGAAAAAUUAGCGGAUGACCUGUGGCUGGGGGUGAAAGGCCAAUCAAACCGGGAGAUAGCUGGUUCUCCCCGAAAGCUAUUUAGGUAGCGCCUCGUGAAUUCAUCUCCGGGGGUAGAGCACUGUUUCGGCUAGGGGGCCAUCCCGGCUUACCAACCCGAUGCAAACUGCGAAUACCGGAGAAUGUUAUCACGGGAGACACACGGCGGGUGCUAACGUCCGUCGUGAAGAGGGAAACAACCCAGACCGCCAGCUAAGGUCCCAAAGUCAUGGUUAAGUGGGAAACGAUGUGGGAAGGCCCAGACAGCCAGGAUGUUGGCUUAGAAGCAGCCAUCAUUUAAAGAAAGCGUAAUAGCUCACUGGUCGAGUCGGCCUGCGCGGAAGAUGUAACGGGGCUAAACCAUGCACCGAAGCUGCGGCAGCGACACUGUGUGUUGUUGGGUAGGGGAGCGUUCUGUAAGCCUGCGAAGGUGGCCUGUGAGGGUUGCUGGAGGUAUCAGAAGUGCGAAUGCUGACAUAAGUAACGAUAAAGCGGGUGAAAAGCCCGCUCGCCGGAAGACCAAGGGUUCCUGUCCAACGUUAAUCGGGGCAGGGUGAGUCGACCCCUAAGGCGAGGCCGAAAGGCGUAGUCGAUGGGAAACGGGUUAAUAUUCCCGUACUUGGUGUUACUGCGAAGGGGGGACGGAGAAGGCUAUGUUGGCCGGGCGACGGUUGUCCCGGUUUAAGCGUGUAGGCUGGUUUUCCAGGCAAAUCCGGAAAAUCAAGGCUGAGGCGUGA
rnacentral:rRNA from 1 species